UUAAGUCAGGUCUGUUCUGGAGUGUGUUACACUUGUGCAAAACUCCUUUCUUCUGUUUAUUUUCUGUUCUGAAAAGCACAGUCUGGGGUUCCUGGGCACUUCCUAUUGAGUGAUUCCAUGAAAAUAAUUUUGUACUGAAAGGGGAAAGGAGCUGUCUGUGGGAGGUCAGGUGUCCAUGAUAAAAGCUUUAUGUUUUUCAGUCAGAUAAGCCUUAAAAUAUCUCACAGUGUAUAGGAAUGCCUGGCUUCUAAAACUCACAGCUGAGUCUUAGAGGCUUCUUUGCAGAGCUGAUUUCAGGCAGCAGAAUUGGCCCCCAGGAGGGACUCUGUGCCUGCUCUCCCGUGGCUCCAAGGGAUCUCUGGCCUAUUACCUUUUAAUAGGUAGCCUUGAGUGUGUCCUUGUUGCCCCAGUGGGCCUUGUCCACCUCCCUAUCUUCCAGGGGAUAUACAUAUUGAAGUUGAAAAUGCUCUUCCUAAUCCUUUGUUGGCUUGAGGCUCUCCCCUCAGGAACUGCAGGAACUCCUGGUGCCGCCUGGGCCGAUGGAUUGGACGCCCCAGCCCCUCCGUUCCUGCCCAGCCCCUGGGGCCGUGUCCAGUGGUGGCACUGCCAGCCCUGCAGGGGAAGUGGGAAGGGCCUUUGCAGGUCUGGUGGAUCACAUUGAUAGCAGUGGGAUGGAGCCUGGAAACUGCCCAGAGCUGAGCCCAGGGAUUGAAAGGGACCAAGCAAGGGAGGUGAAGAAAAAAGGAAGAAGGGAAGUGAGGCAGCAGCCAAGCAGCACCAAGUUGCUGUGUAAGCAGCAAGGUCCCGACUGAAGUGGCAGCUGCAGUUGUUCCUGUGGUGUGGGCCAGUGGAAUUCCAAGAAAAUGGACAAGGGCAGAACCUCUAAGAAUUAUUCCUAAGGCAGAGUCUCUCCUGGUAAGGCAAACCCAGUAUCCUUCAAAAUUGGGAAGCCAAGCUGGAUUGGUUCUAGUAACAGCUGAAUUUGCUGAUCAUGGUUUGAUAGUAGAAUGUGAAUGGAAGGACCUGUAAAGAAAGCAAAUGGGAAAGAUGAUGGAUUGCUGGGAGCAGGGGCUGGCAGACAGUGGCACUGGAUGUUUGGUUGUGGUUGGGAAUGAGCAGCUUGACCUGCCCAGGGUUGUCUGUGCUGGGGGUGGGUUUGGGUCCUGUGUGGCCACAGGUCUGUGCAGCAGCUGGAGCCUGGGCAGGUUUGGGGGCUGUGGUGUGCCAGGCUGCUGAGUUUGUUGUCCCUGUUUCCUUGGAGUGUCCCAGUGUCCCUGCUUGGCUGUUUGUUACCCUGCAGGCAGAAGAGCCCAGGCCUGAGCUGGCUGAGUGUUGGUGUGACCCAGAGUGGGUGUCCCUGCCCUCGGGACAGUCCCCAGAGCUGCCUUUGGCAUCCCCUGCUGAAGGGUGGGAGCUGCCCAGAGCCAGCAGCAUCCAGCUGGAGGAUCCAGGAGGAUGCAGCUCCUGUUGUCUGGGAGGAGAAAAUGGGGCAAGCGGGCAGGAAGAAGAGAAGCCCCGUGACUCCUCCCUGAGCCCCAGCCAGCCCCUGAACUGCCUUCCUGGGAAUGGUGGGACGGGCUGGACUCUGGAUUGCUCCCUCUGCAUGUGUGGCUCUCCCCUCAGGAACUGCAGGAACUCCUGGUGCCGCCUGGGCCGAUGGAUUGGACGCCCCAGCCCCUCCGUUCCUGCCCAGCCCCUGGGGCCGUGUCCAGUGGUGGCACUGCCAGCCCUGCAGGGGAAGUGGGAAGGGCCUUUCCAGGUCCUGUGGGUCACAUUUAUAGCAGUGGGAUGGAGCCUGGAAACUGCCCAGAGCUGAGCCCAGGGAUUGAAAGGGACCAAGCAAGGGAGGUGAAGAAAGAAGGAAGAAGGGAAGUGAGGCAGCAGCCAAGCAGCACCAAGUUGCUGUGUAAGCAGGAGAAAAUGGGGCAAGCGGGCAGGAAGAAGAGAAGCCCCGUGACUCCUCCCUGAGCCCCAGCCAGCCCCUGAACUGCCUUCCUGGGAAUGGUGGGACGGGCUGGACUCUGGAUUGCUCCCUCUGCAUCUGUGUGGGAUGGAGCCUGGAAACUGCACAGAGCUGAGCCCAGGGAUUGAAAGGGACCAAGCAAGGGAGGUGAAGAAAGAAGGAAGAAGGGAAGUGAGGCAGCAGGCAAGCAGCAUCAAGUUGCUGUGUAAGCAGAGUUGAUGUGACUGACUUCUUUUUGAAAUGCAGCAGUGCUCUCAAGGGUAUUUCCCCCCCACUCCUGGGCUUGUGCAGGGCUGUUGAGUCCGUGUGUGCCACUGUUCUUGUCCCAGGGGGACCGAGUGACAUUUGGAACCAAACCUGGGUCCUUGGGACCGAGCCCAGACCUGAUCCUGUUCAUGAACCACAAGGGCUGAAACUGUUCUGCAAGCCCAGUUUGCAGAGCAGGAGCUUUGCAAUACUCAGCAGGACUGUCCUGGUGGGGAUAAUCCAGAACUGCAGCUUUGAUGUUUAAAAAGGAGCCUGUGCUACUUCUUGUUUCCUGUGCUGGGCUUUCCUUGAACAGUGCCCAGGGAGGGGAGCAGCAACAGCUUCACUUGGAAGUGGACUCUGGUUUUUGAGAACAUCCUAAGCUCAGUGUGGUUUUGGUAUCACUAAGUACUUAUUUUAUUUGCCAUUUGUCUUAAAUUGUAUACACCUUUGAAGUGCCAGCUGUGUUUUGAAGACAUUCUUACAGUUGUUUCAAGUGAAAUUUGGACUGUUACACAUUUAGAAGGAGAUGAUUUUCCUGUGAAUAAACUACUAAAACAAAGGGGGGAGUGAGGAAAGCCAAGCUCAGGAGAUAACCUUACCAACUGGUUUGGGAAGUUGUUUACCUAAAUAGCCCAAAUUGGUUGGAGCUGCAGCACAAACAGGGGGGAGAAGGAGAGGGUUUGUGUUUUGACAGUUCUUGAAGUUUUUUGCAGGGACUACUGCCAGGUUCUCUUUGAAGUCCCAACCCCAUUAGCAUGGGGAAAUGUGUGUUUGGCUUUAGAAAUAGGAGUGUGUAUUUCCCUUUGAACUAGAGGAAUGUUUCUAUGUCUUUGAAUUUUAAAUUGCACAUGAAGCAGAAAUAUGUUUGUGUUUUACAGGUUAUAUUUUCAUGAAAAUAGAAAUGCAUCAUUGGAUCUUACUCCUCUGAGGGCAAACCACCAGCCUGAUCAUUCCUUAGUCCCUCAAACCCAGUGCCAUGAGCUCAGAGGGGUGUUUGGGUGCAAAUGUGCUGAGUGCUGGUGGCCCCGGGAGAUGUGAGCAGCUGGAAAUGUGUGUGUGUGUGCAGAGUUGGGCUGGAGCCCUUGGGAUUUGGCUCCCAGAUCCCCCCCCAGCCUUCAGGAAAACCAGAGGGCACCGAACCCUGAGGGAAGGGAGUCCCAUCUGCAGAAGGGUUUUUAGGUUGGGGAAAAGCUCCAGAACAAAGCCUGGGUUCCAAACACCUUCAGCAAAAGUCAAGGAGCACAGACCCUGAAGUCAUCAAGUUCUGGAGUUUGGUUCAAACCAUUUGCUUCUCAGUCAGUUUGAAUGAAGUGUUAAAAGGAGAACUUAAAUAAGGUUAAUUUCUGAUGGAGAACAAUGGGAAGAAGUGAAGUGGUUUAAGUUCAUUAAACAUGUUUUCUAUCAGUCCAUGGUUAUUUAAUUGAGCAUUGUUUGGAAUUGUUCUUUUUGCAUUUGUUCCUGGUGUGCUUUUCUCUGUCUGAGGGAUGGUUGGAGGUCUUUCUGAUUGGUUGGAUGUUUUUAAUGUCAGUGCUAGACUGGGGUGGACAGUCAUUGUAACAUGAUUUAGAGUUUGAUGCAUUUUAUUCUGUGUGCCCUGUUUGAUGUCUUGUGUUCAGCGAGUGCCUGGGCAGAGUUUGGCCCAAGCCUUUGUUUUUUGGGUGAAAACCCAAAGGGGAAUUGUAGCUGCAGCUUUGCCCUUGAGCUGCAGCUGGAGCCAAAGAACAAGGAAAACCUCCCUGGGGAAGGAAGGGGGAGCCAGAGAAGAAAAGCAGCUGCAGCCAGAAAGUGGGAUGGAGCCUGGAAAGUGCACAGAGCUGAGCCAAGGGAUUGAAAGGACCAAGCAAGGGAGGUGAAGAAAGAAGGAAGAAGGCAAGUGAGGCAUGAGCCAAGCAGCACCAAGUUGCUGUGUAAGCAGGAGAAAAUGGGGCAAGCGGGCAGGAAGAAGAGAAGCCCCGUGACUCCUCCCUGAGCCCCAGCCAGCCCCUGAACUGCCUUGCUGGGAAUGGUGGGACGGGCUGGACUCUGGAUUGCUCCCUCUGCAUGUGUGGCUCUCCCCUCAGGAACUGCAGGAACUCCUGGUGCCGCCUGGGCCGAUGGAUUGGACGCCCCAGCCCCUCCGUUCCUGCCCAGCCCCUGGGGCCGUGUCGAGUGGUGGCACUGCCAGCCCUGCAGUGGGAUGGAGCCUGGAAACUGCCCAGAGCUGAGCCCAGGGAUUGAAAGGGACCAAGCAAGGGAGGUGAAGGAAGAAGGCAAGUGAGGCAGCAGGCAAGCAGCACCAAGUUGCUGUGUAAGCAGGUGAGUUGUGUUGAGGUUCCUCAGGCAGGCACUGAGGACUUGGAGGGCUCCAGACAGAGCAGACCUGGGAAGGCCCUUGGUGAAGCUCCUUGGAAACCUUCUAAGGGUAGGUGUGUAUGGUGAUAAGUGUUGGGAUUGUCCUGAAUGUGGAACAGGAAUGCAGGGAAGCAAAAUGAACCCUCCUGUAAUGCUGACCCCUCCCAUCAGCUGCAGUGGAGACCCCUCCAUGUGCCCUUUGGGAUCUGAUUGCCAGGACCCCCGUGGGGCUGGGAUCAUGGCAGGGUGUUGUUAGCAAGGAAUGCCUGGCUUCUUAAACUCACCAGCUGAGUCUUAGAGGCUUCUUUGAAGAGCUGAUUUCAGGCAGGAAAAUUGCCCCCCCAGGAGGGACUCUGUGCCUGCUCUCCCGUGGCUCCAAGGGAUCUCUGGCCCUUCACGCCGGCACCGAGAUUUUCUCGGGAAGGGCCUCAGAUCCCCAGACCAGUCUGGGACACAGGCAAGAUCCCGCUGCAGUUUAGGACCAAAUUGGGCCCCCUGGAGGGACAGUGCUGUUGGUGCCCCCCGGGUUGGGGCACCCCGAGGACUCCAGCGCGCACCGAAAGGAUUAUUCGGGGAGAUCCUCGGGGUGCCCGGCCCUGGGGAGCUCAAAGCAAGGUCCCUGCCAUGGAUUCAGGCAUUGCUGAGAGUAUCCCAGGGGUCCCUGUCCCUGCUAGACAUGGAGCUCUCUACUGGGCUGUAAUUGGGUGAUAAAAGUGGUACUCCAAGUGCCAAAGAAGUGUGGGAUUGGGAUUAAGAAAUGAGCAGUGAGGGUCCAAUUGGCUGUUUUCUCUGGAAUGUGACUGUGAGAGCUGCAGGAGUGCCAGGUGUGUGUUCCAGUCCCCAGCAUUUGGUUUGCACCUGUCCUGGUCAGACACAGGUCCAACUUGCUCAGUCCUUAACCCAAGAGAGGGAGAAUGAAGGACUGGCAGUGUUAAGGUGAUUGGUGUGACAGGGGUCAAACUGGGAAAACAUUGGGUAAUUCCUCAGUUUGUCUGUUUGCCAAAGUCAGCCAAACCUCUGCUAGGAAGAGAGGGACUGGAAAAGUUGAGGCAGAAAUGAAAUGGAAAACUGGGGCUAUUGACACUGUAAUUGCUGAAACUAAAUGUGUCCAAGCAGCAGCUCUUGUUGUGCAGGGAAUAACUCCUGUCAGCAGCAAGGUCCCGACUGAAGUGGCAGCUGCAGUUGUUCCUGUGGUGUGGGCCAGUGGAACUGCAGGAGAGUGGAAGAGGGCAGAACCUGUAGGUAUUACCCCUACUGUGGGAUCUCUCCUGGUAAGGCCAAGCCAGUAUCCUUUAAAAUCAGAAUGGCAGCUUGGAUUGGUUGCAGGAACAGCUGAAUUUGCUCCUCCUGGUUUGCUUGUAGAAGGUGAAUGCCAGAACCUGCCAAGAAACCAAUGGCCAAGGGGAUUGAUUAGUGCAGGACCUGAGAGAACCCCCUGAAAUGACAACCUGGAGUAGUUUCCAGAGAAAAUCUGGACAGGGGGAAGGAAGAAGAGAAGCCCCGUGACUCCUCCCUGAGCCCCAGCCAGCCCCUGAACUGCCUUGCUGGGAAUGGUGGGACAGGCUGGACUCUGGAUUGCUCCCUCUGCAUGUGUGUGGGAUGUAGCCUGAAAACUCCACAGAGCUGAGCCAAGGGAUUGAAAGGGACCAAGCAAGGGAGGUGAAGAAAGAAGGAAGAAGGCAAGUGAGGCAUGAGCCAAGCAGCACCAAGUUGCUGUGUAAGCAGGAGAAAAUGGGGCAAGCGGGCAGGAAGAAGAGAAGCCCCGUGACUCCUCCCUGAGCCCCAGCCAGCCCCUGAACUGCCUUGCUGGGAAUGGUGGGACGGGCUGGACUCUGGAUUGCUCCCUCUGCAUGUGUGGCUCUCCCCUCAGGAACUGCAGGAACUCCUGGUGCCGCCUGGGCCGAUGGAUUGGACGCCCCAGCCCCUCCGUUCCUGCCCAGCCCCUGGGGCCGUGUCGAGUGGUGGCACUGCCAGCCCUGCAGGGGAAGUGGGAAGGGCCUUUGCAGGU